rnacentral:rRNA from 1 species
ACGGAAGGCAGCAGUGGGGAAUAUUGCACAAUGGGCGAAAGCCUGAUGCAGCGACGCCGCGUGAGUGAAGAAGUAUCUCGGUAUGUAAAGCUCUAUCAGCAGGGAAGAAAAUGACGGUACCUAACUAAGAAGCCCCGGCUAACUACGUGCCAGCAGCCGCGGUAAUACGUAGGGGGCAAGCGUUAUCCGGAUUUACUGGGUGUAAAGGGAGCGUAGACGGUUUGGCAAGUCUGAAGUGAAAUGCGGGGGCUCAACUCCUGAACUGCUUUGGAAACUGUCGAACUAGAGUGCAGGAGAGGUAAGUGGAAUUCCUAGUGUAGCGGUGAAAUGCGUAGAUAUUAGGAGGAACACCAGUGGCGAAGGCGGCUUACUGGACUGUAACUGACGUUGAGGCUCGAAAGCGUGGGGAGCAAACAGGAUUAGAUACCCUGGUA